rnacentral:rRNA from 1 species
AGCAGUGGGGAAUUUUGGACAAUGGGCGCAAGCCUGAUCCAGCAAUGCCGCGUGAGUGAAGAAGGCCUUCGGGUUGUAAAGCUCUUUUGUCAGGGAAGAAACGGUGAGGGCUAAUAUCUCUUGCUAAUGACGGUACCUGAAGAAUAAGCACCGGCUAACUACGUGCCAGCAGCCGCGGUAAUACGUAGGGUGCAAGCGUUAAUCGGAAUUACUGGGCGUAAAGCGUGCGCAGGCGGUUUUGUAAGUUUGUCGUGAAAGCCCCGGGCUCAACCUGGGAAUUGCGAUGAAGACUGCAGGGCUUGAAUCUGGCAGAGGGGGGUAGAAUUCCACGUGUAGCAGUGAAAAGCGUAGAGAUGUGGAGGAACACCGAUGGCGAAGGCAGCCCCCUGGGUCAAGAUUGACGCUCAUG